UACGUAGGGUGCGAGCGUUAAUCGGAAUUACUGGGCGUAAAGCGUGCGCAGGCGGUUUUAUAAGUCAGAUGUGAAAGCCCCGGGCUCAACCUGGGAAUGGCAUUUGGGACUGUAAGGCUGGAGUAUGGCAGAGGAGACUAGAAUUCCUGGUGUAGCAGUGAAAUGCGUAGAUAUCAGGAGGAAUACCGAUGGCGAAGGCAGGUCUCUGGGCCAAUACUGACGCUCAUGCACGAAAGCGUGGGGAGCAAACAGG
rnacentral:rRNA from 1 species